rnacentral:rRNA from 1 species
GACGAACGCUGGCGGCGUGCUUAACACAUGCAAGUCGAACGAAGUGGCGAACGGGUGAGUAACGCGUAAUCAAACUGCCAUUCAGAGGGGGACAACAGGUGGAAACGACUGCUAAUACCGCCUAAUGAAGGAGGGGGUUGCGUAUGCUUAGCUAGUUGGAGGGGUAAGGGCCCAACAAGGGGAUGAUCAGUAGCCGGUCUGAGAGGAUGAACGUCCACAUUGGGACUGAGACACGGCCCAGACUCCUACGGGAGGCAGCAGUGGGGAAUCUUCCGCAAUGGACGAAAGUCUGACGGGGCAACGCCGCGUGAGUGAUGACGGCCUUCGGGUUGUAAAGCUCUGUUAAUCGGGACGCGGUACCGGAAUAGAAAGCCACGGCUAACUACGUGCCAGCAGCCGCGGUAAUAC